rnacentral:lncRNA from 1 species
AUGCAGUUGGGAAUAUAAAAGAUUCAUUUCUGCAGAGGAUGAUCAUCAAUUCUGAUUAAAUGGUACAUAGUGACUUGACUAUACAUUAUUUAUUACAAAACAAAUCAUUUAAAAAUUGUGUGUCUUCGAAUAUGAUAAAUAUAGUUGUGAAACUGAAUAAUCAGUCCCUUGCUUUAAUGAAAAUGAAAAAUCUUGCUUCAAUAGUGCAGAAAAUGAAUAAUCGGUCCUGUUAGCUUACAAAAAUAAAUAACCGAUCACCCCCCCUCCCCCC